rnacentral:lncRNA from 1 species
AGGAGUACCCAUAAGUUCAACCAUCCUAGUCUGAGAAUUAGGAUCAGCAUCCAUAUCACGAGUAACUUGAAUCUUAGCACCAGAUUGCAUCUGAAGAUACUUAAUAGUUUCACCUCCUUUACCAAUAAGAACACCAACCCUACCAUUAGGUAUUUCAAUCUUCUUACUAGAACCAUAACUACCACCUUGUUGUGAAUAUUGCGGCUUCAAAUCGUAAGAAUCAAACCCCGAGUGUGGAGCACCGUUAUCGGACUUGGUUCGUUUGGGAUCGUAGGAGAGUGGUGGAGCGCCGGUGACGCUGAGAAGACGAGCGGCGACUUCUUGAGCUCGUUGUUUGGCGUUUGCGACUUCGAGUUCGAUGUCAGUGGCGGUGGGUUGGUCAUCGUAUUUACGUUUUAGGGUUGCGUACUGUGCUUCUUCCGCCAUUGAAACAAACCCUAGAGGGAAGAAGAAAGUGAAAACACGAUGUGUGAAGGAAUUGGAUUAGGUUUUGAAAACACGAUGUGCUACUGGUCAUUUCAGAUACUAGAGAAGAGGUAAAAUUUUACUCGGACUUAAAUCUAAUUUUUAAUCACACAAAAAAAAAACCAAUUAAAAAAUGUAAAAUAAGAAUUUAACUAUCAUAUUUUUUUUUUUGGAAGGAAAUUUAACUAUCAUAUUUUAAAAAUUCAAUUAAAAAAAAGUAAUAUAAGAAUUUUUUUGACAAAAGUAAUAUAAGAAUUUAAUUAACAUAUUCUAAAAGUUUGGACUUAUAUAUAAAAAUCGUUGAUGGUCGUUAUUGAAUUUUAAGAUUUAUGAGUGGGUUCUUUUUGCCUAAAAAAAUAUUGUAAAAAUUAAAAAAAAUAUAUAUGAAUGGUAUUUUGAUUAAAAUUAUAGUACGAAUCGUUAGGUAUAUAUUUGUAAUUUAGUAAUUUGAAAAAUAAAUAAAUUGAAGAUUUCAUCAUAUUUCAUCCAAAUUAGAGGGUAAGCAAAACCAAAGUAAGUGGUGGAACAUGAUGGAAUGCAUGUUAUUGAGUUUUAUUCCAUCCCAUCCUUUUAAUGAUUAUUCAAACAAUGAAAUCUUAAUUUAUUCCAUUUCAUCCUACUUCAUUCCAUCACAUUCCAUCAAUUCAGACAUAGCCUUAGUGUUACGGUAGAUAUGUAGUUUGAUUUGGUUCGGAUGACAAAAUAAAAACCACAACCAAACACGAUUUAUUGCGGUUUUCGUUUUAAUUGGUUCCGUUUACGUUUCUAUUGAGUCACUAGGUUUUGAACACUCAUAAAUACUUGUUUGCGUGCGUAUAUGUAUAUGUGCAUAUAGUCACUAGAGGUGUUCAAAACCGAACCAACCCAAUAGAAAAACCGCAAACCAAACCAAUCCAACCCGAAAUCGCAAAAAACCGCACUUGGUUCAGAUGAAUUCGGAUGACUUUUGCAAUGAACCGCGCGGUUCGGUUUGGUUUGCGGUUUGCAUCUCAGCAGCCGAACCAAACCAAACCAAACCGCAAGAAUCAUGAAUAUUACUUAAACAUGUACUAGCCCAAUUACUGCACAAACUGAACCAAUCCAAACCGCAUUGGUUUGGUUUGGAUGAAUUUUUAAAAAUCAACCGAACCAACCAAACCGCAUGCUUUUUUAUCUCGUAGUUUGGGUUUUAUGCUCAAAACUGAACCAAACUACGUCGCGGACACCCCUAAUAGUCACUCUAAAAAGACAUUUAUAAAGGAACCGAAGGAGUGCUAUUAAAAAAUUAUUGUUAAUUGUUAUAUGGCUAAAAUAUGUUUUUGGUCCUUGCAAAUAUGGUGAGUUUGGAUUUUGGUCCCUGGUAAUUUUUUUUUUUUUAAAAAUUCAUCCCUGCAAAAAUUUUUGUUUUUUAAAAUAGUCCUUGACUCCACUUUAUUGAUGAUUUGACGCAUUUCUUCUACACACGUGGCUUUCGUUGACUGUGGAAGAACGUACACAUGGCACACAAGUGGCAAUUGCCUUAUUUAAAAUAUUUAAAAAUCAUUUUAAUUAAAAUUAAAUUUAGUUUUCAAAUUUAAAAAAAGAUUUAAUUAAAUUAAAAAAUUAAAGAAUCAGCAUUCUUUUCAUCUCUUCUUCUUCUCCAACCCUUUUCUUCUUAUUCUUCUUCUGCAAUAACACAACAUCUGUUUCACCAUCUUCACCAUUUUUCCAUCAUCAUUAAAACCAAUCAAAACCACAUUCAAUUGUAGAGAAAAUGGGAGAAAGAUAUCCAGAAUCUGAGGAGCAAAUCCAUAAACGAAAUCAAAUCUCAACGCAACAAAAAUCAAAUCUUAAACAAAAUCAAAUCUUCUCCAUCACAUCGCAGCAAAAUCAAAUCUUAAACAAAAUCUCAAAUUUGAGUAGCAAACCCAUAAACGAAAUCAGACGAACCCAGAAGCGAAAACGAGUGAGAAUCGUCUCCGGUAGUCAGAUCUGGUGGUUGGUGACUGAGCGGUGAUGAUGGCGGUUCAUGUUGUAGCGCGACGAGGACGGUGGCGGAGGAGUUUUAAUUUGCGGUGGCUUGAGAUGGGCUGAUGGCAAAUCUUGGUUGCUGUUAGUUUUUGUUUAUGAAUUGGAAACAAAUGAUGUUUUGUCAUAAUUGAGUUCAUGGUGAACUGUAGAUUGUGAUGUGAUGUUGUGUUUCUUACCUCCAUUGCUUCUCUCUUGUUGUUACUGUUCUAGAUCCAAAGAGAUGGUCUCUCUUGGUGUUCAGUUCUUAAUACAUGUUUUGGUCCUUAACUUAUUUUCGGAUUUUAUUUUGGUCCUCUAACUAUAAAGUGUCUCAAUUUGAUCUCUUAUGUUUUCUCCGUUACCUCUUUUGGUCUUCUCCCUUAGGUUGUUUUCAAAAAUAGUUAACCCUUGUCCACAUGUCAUUUAAGAUUGGAGAUUAAGGGUUAGAUUUAAAAAGUAUACAAUGAGCUCACAACAUACAAUCAUUUCUAUUUUUCUUGAUUUUCCUAAAAAUAUAAAUUUAAAAUCACCAUCAAUCUACAUCUUUUUAUAUAUUUUGAAAAUAAUUUGUAUCCAGAUUUUUAAAAAUUAAAAUAUUUUUCAGAAUUUUGUAGAAAAAAAUAAAAAAAAAUCUGACCUUUUUUUUUAAAAUUUCGUAAUAAAAUUAUUUUUUUUCAAAUUUUGAAAAAGAUUUUAUAAAAUUCAAGAAUAACUUUUUUUUUCAUAUUUUAUAAAAAUCUGAAUUUUUUUAUAUAUUUUUCAAAAUUAAAAUAUUUUCCAGAAUUUUGUAGAAAAAAUUAAAAAUAACCUUUUUUUUCGAAGAAAAAUAUGAUCUUUUUUUAUAACCUUUUUAAAUUCUGAAUUUUUUAAAUUAAAAUAUUUUCCAGAAUUUUGUAGAAAAAUUUGUAUCCAGAAUUUUAAAAAUUAAAAUAUUUCCCAGAAUUUUGUAGAAAAAAUUUAAAAAAACAUUUUUUUUCGGAAAUCUGACCUUUUUUUGAAAUUUCGUAAAAAAAUAAAUUUUUAAAUCUUGGAAAAGAUUUUAAAAAAAUUCUGGAAUAUUUUUUUGGAUAAUGUUUUAUGUACACACUUUUUUCCAUACACACAUUGUACCACUUCAUGUGAGAGUGUGUGAGAGACAAUACAUUUGAGUUUUUUUGUGUGUGGGGGGGACCACAAGGACACUUGUCAAAAUUGUAUGUGGGUGUACAAGUGGUACAUGUCACCUAAGGUGGUUUAUGUAUCACCACUCAUUUUUUUUCCUUCUAAUUUUAAAAUAUGAAUUUUUUAUAUAUUUUUCCAGAUUUUUAAAAAUUAAAAUAUUUUUCAGAAUUUUGUAGGAAAAAAUUAAAAAAACCUUUUUUUUCGAAAAAAAAAACUGACCUUUUUUAAAAAUUUCGUAAAAAAAUAAAUUUUUUUAAUUUUGAAAAUGAUUUUAAAAAAAUCUGGAAUAUUUAAAAUAUGAAUUUUUUAAUAUAUUUUUUGCUUCAAAAAAAUCAGGUGUUAAUCAUUCACCGUAGGCUACAAUAAACCUACAUGAUCCAACGGUUUCUAUUUGAAAAAUAGAUCAAAAAGUUAAAAUGUAACGGAGAGGACCAAAAGAGGUAACGGCAUAAGACAUAAGGGACCAAAUUGAGACACUUUAUAGUUAGGGGACCAAAAUGAAAUCCGAAAAUAAGUUAAGGGACCAAAGCAUGUAUUAAGCCAUAAAUUUAUGAAUUUUCCACCUUUUCUGCAGUUUCUUUAAUUUUUAAUCACUUAAUUAAACUUAAUUGAUUUUUUAUUUUAAUUUCAAAAGUAUAUUUUUUUAUUUUAAAAAAUGGUUUUUAAAUAAUUAAAUUGAAACAAUUGUCAUGUGGCUGCCAAUUGUGCAUAAUUACACAGUCAGUGAAUGUCACGUAGGCAGAAAUGCGCCAAAUCAUCAAUAAAAUGGGGUCAAGGACUAUUUUAAAAUACAAAAAAUUUUGCAGGGAUGAAUUUCAAAAAAGAAAUUUACCAGGGACCAAAAUCCAAACUCGUCAUAUUUGCAGGGAUCAAAAACAUAUUUUAGCUUGUUAUAUUUGUUGAAGGAAGUUAAUGCAAAUUAAAUUCGCUAAAUAAAAUCUAUGAUUUAUUAUGUCAAGAGAAAAGUCAAAUAAAUAUAAGUUAAUAACUUAAAAUAUAUUUGAUUUAAAGAUAUUGAUCAUAAACAAGUUAUUUAACUUUACUAACAAAAAAAAUUGCAUUGAUGAUAAUAUUUAAAAUGUCAUGUUAAUAUAAAUAAAUAAAAAAACAUUUUUUACACUUUUGUAAUGCAUAAAAAGAGAGAAAACCAAUCAAACAUAUCUUAAAAGAGAGAUGAUCCAGAAGCAAAGAGGAUACGGAUUUUGUAAUGCAUAAAAAAAUGAAAACCAAUCAAGACUGCACAAAUAAUACAUGGCAUUUUUUUUUUUUUGACGAAAUACAUAAUGACAUGUUGAUCAUACAGAUUUCAGAUAUGAUUUUGUUCGGACUAAGAAAAUAACACCUAUGCUGCAUGUUGAAUCAAAAGCUCCUGCUAUCAUAAGCUACUGCUAUCAUGUGAUAUCAUACAGAGCUCUACUGAGAUCUCCUGAAAUAUGUAACUUAUACAUAUAAAAUCCUUCUUACAUUUUCAAAAAACUUAGGUUUAUUUAAGUAUUCUGUGUUCAUUUUAGUAAUGUCUUUUAACAUAUAUUCCACGGUUGCACCAAAAUUCUGCAAAUGGCAUGUAACUUCGCAGCUCAUUUCAGGAAAAUUCUUUCCUUUUGAAAUGAAAGAUACGGGGAUCAAACCAUACAACUUUUAAAAGGAAAAUGCUAGUCUAACGCUGGAUUCAGUACAAUUUGUUAGCUCCUAUUCAACCUUCCGGAAAAUAUUCAAGUACCAAAAUAAGUUUGUUUUCAUCUAGACACUGCAAUGCCAUAUAGAUGUUGCUAUCAAAAUGGGAGGAAAAAAAAUUAAAACCACAUCCCAAAGGACCAUAAUAAAAUCACAAAAGACAAAUCAACUCUUGGGUGAGACUUUAGCAACACCGCCCUGUGGAACAGCCUGUGCAGUUGCUCCAUCGCUAGCAUAUGCUGGAGCCUGAGCAUAACCAGCACCAUAAGAACUAUUUCCAUAUGACGCUGGAGUCUGGCCAUAGCUAGGCUGGCCACCUUGAGGAGCACCAUAUGAUUGCGGACCAUACCCUGGUUGCACUGGUGCUCUCUGAGUUCCUAACUCUGGUUGAGCAUAUCCAGAAGGUGGGGCCUGGCUAGAGGGAUAUGCUGACUGACCAUAGCCUGCUGCUGUGCUAGGUGACUGUGACUGACCAUAAACAGGUGGAUUUGCACUUGGCUUUUGAGAGGGAGGAGCACCAUAACCAGUUCCAUAACCAGACUGUGGUUGACUUCCAUAGGUCGCUUGGGACGUAGGGGCUACCGCAUAACCUGGUUGAGGAGUUCCUUGUUGGUUGGUAGCAUAGCCUUGCUGGGCAACAGUAGUGGGUUGGGAAGUUUGGGAGGUAUCUGCUUGUGAUCCAUAGUUUGAAGUGUGCCCUUCUUGGGUUGGAUUACUCCCACUGCCAUAACUGGGAGCAGAGCCAUAACCUUGUUGCUGAUCAUAUGUUUGUGGCUGACCAUACCCAGAUUGUUGCUGCGCAUUAUAUGCACCAUAGCUUUCCUGACCAUAACCCUGUCCUGGUUGGCUAUAACCAGAUGAAGGGGGUUGACUGUAACUGUAUGCAGACCCAUCGGCUGGCUGUGAAGGACCCCCAGGAUUUUGCUGUUGCUGGGGUUGUUGAUUGUAAUAAUCAUAACCACUUGCAUGAGUAGACUGCUGGUGAGAUGGUGCAGUGGAUUGGUCCCAGUUGGCGGAAUAUCCACCGGGUUGCUGAGGAGGAUAGCCUGUGUAUGGUGGCUGAGGCGUGUUAUACUGGGGUGAUGGACCAGAGUAUGAUCCAGGUUGCCCAUAGCCAUAACCAGCUUGUUGCACAGGAGCAGCAGGAGGAGCCCAGCUAGACGGUGGUCGGGAUUGGUAACCUUGCUGAGUAUAACCACCCGAGUUCCCUGAAUUUCUGAGACGAUUCUGCAGAGAGAAACAUCACAACCACAAAUUAAAAAGGUGAACUUGCCCAACGUACCAAAACAUAAAAAUAUAUGAAGCAAUAGAUGUACACACAAAACGGGUGUCAAAAUAUGCACAACCUCAUUUCCAUUGAUGCCAUUAAAAAUUAGUCAUAAUUUCAAUAAGCUCAUUGUCAAGACAACCGAUAUUUUACUCACUACAAGAGCAAGUAUGGGAAACUAAAACCAAAUAUACAGACUGUAUUUCACUAAGCCCCAAGUACAUUGAAACAAUCCUCUCAACCCAAUCUAACACGUCAGCCUAAACAAACCAUGAAAUAAAAGCGAAUAAAACUGAUUAGCGAGAGCCAUUAUAAUUGAAAGUGAAUUCAACGUAGGAACAACAAACACAUGCAAAUAGUUAUUCUUUGUAUGUAGAUGAGCACAAGUCCCAAGGAUAAAACAAUGCCAAAUGAAAGUUGAGCAAAUGACCCAACGAUAAGAAAUAUUUUAAGUAUAAGUUCUUACGAACAAUCGACAGAAACACAGAAAUGGCGUUGUUGAAGAGAAUUUCAAACAAAAUCUAACAGCCAGGACACAAAUAGAGACAAUAACCAAGAUUCCUCAAAGUGUUGUCUAAUUUUAUGGCUGACAUACACAAUCAACAAGUCAAAAUUCAAAAGGACAUAAGUUAAUAAAUCAUAGUUACUGCACUGAGUUAUCACGGUUUCAUUUGGCAAGCUUAUGCAACCAUACUUUAGAAACAUGAGCACCUUAUUUUUACAAAAGGCAGAGACUAAAAAUGAAGAAUAAAUUUUGUAGGGACUAAACUCAAAAGGUCCAUAAUUUUAUAAGGUAAUUAUACAAGAACUUCAAACAUAUUUAAUCCUAAAACUAAACAUGGUUAUAAACCCAUAAUUUUAAACUUAAAAGAGAGUUGGCACAUUCCAGCCAAAAAUGACAAGCCAAAUAGAACAAAAAAUUGUGUUGAUAACAUACCUCACCAGUGAGGAUUUGAUUAACCAAUUGCUUUGCUGAUUCAAUUUGAUCAGGGGUCCCAUCGAUUUUUAAUGUUCUUUCUGUUGAUGUAUCACCUGGGGGAGGAUGCAAAGGUAUCACCUGAAAAAAUUGACGAUAUUAGUAAAAAGGUUAAAAUGAAUAGGAAAUCCAAAUCUUGAGAGUCGGGCAGUCAGCUUUUAACAGCAUCUAACUUUUAACAUAAUCAUGAUUAAGAAACUAUAUAUCGAACAAAAAAUGAAGACAAAAGCACAAGAGAGAACCUGAAUUCGUGCUCCAGUAGAAGCUUGCAUACCCUUAAUUGUUUCUCCUCCUUUACCGAUUAUAAGGCCAACCUAAAGAUGCACACAAGAAACCACAUCAACCCAAUAGAGGAUAAACAAAACACUGUCAAAAAACAUGCCUGCAACUGCACAUAUUUCCUCCCCACACCUUAUUGUUUGGUAUUUGCAUCACAAAUUCAUCCCCCCCAGAUUGUGCAACCAUCCGUCUAGUGCCACCGACAGAAGCCCCAGCUUCAGCCUAGUUAAUAAACAACACGUAUCAGUAAUGUUUCACAAACAGGUCAAAGUUACACCAAUUCCAACAUCAUUUGAGCAUAUUAAUUCAUGAAAUACUUAAUAUUAUAGUCACAGAAUCAGUAGAAAACAACUCUUAUCAGUGAUGUCUCACUAACAGUUUACAGUUACAGCAAUUCAACAUCACUUUGUUAGAGCAAAUUUAUCGUGAAAUAUUUCAUACUACAGAUACAAAAUCAGUUGAAACAAGUGAUGUUUAUCGAACAGAUUAAAGUUUAAGCCACUCAAAUCAUUUUAGCAAAUUCAUCAUGAAAUAAUUAUCAGCAAUGUUUUACUAACAGGUUAUGAUUAAUGUCGUCCAAGCUUCAUUUGAGCAAAUUUAUCGUGAAAUACUCCAUACUGCAGAUACAAAGUAAGUUGAAAACAACUCCUAUUAGUGAAUGUUUCACUAAGAGGUAAAGUCACGGUCAUUUGAACAUCAUUUGAGCAAAUUUACCAUGAAAUUGUGCAAGAUUUCAAGAAAACAACUCUCAACCACUGAUACUUCACUAACAGAUUACAGUUAACAGUUGCAAAAUCUGUUGAAAACAACAAUUUCACUAACAGUUUACCUUUACCGAAUUGAAACAUCAGUUGAGCAAAAUUGAUCAUAAAGCACAUCAUAUCACAUAUACAAAAUCAGUUGGAUACAACAAAAUCAGGCUACGAUUGCACCAAUUUCUACAUCAUGUGGGAAAUUUAUCAUAAAACACUUCAUAUAACGGAUACAAAAUCAGUUCAAACCAGCUCUAAUCAAUGAUAUUUCACUAAGGUAACAGUUACGGUGAUUUCAAAACAAGAAUUAAGCAAAUUAAUCACGACAUACUUCAUAUAACAGUAAAAAAAACAGUUCAAAACAACUCAUAUCAAUGAUUUUCCCUAAAACGUAACAAUUACAGUAAUUCAAAAAAUAUGAAUUAAUCAAAUUGUUAUCAGUAAACACGAGUUUAAAACAAACAAACCUCGGCAAGGACUUCAUUGAUGAGUUUCUCAGCAGAAGAAACAGCAUCAGGAGUACCCAUAAGUUCAACCAUCCUAGUCUGAGAAUUAGGAUCAGCAUCCAUAUCACGAGUAACUUGAAUCUUAGCACCAGAUUGCAUCUGAAGAUACUUAAUAGUUUCACCUCCUUUACCAAUAAGAACACCAACCCUACCAUUAGGUAUUUCAAUCUUCUUACUAGAACCAUAACUACCACCUUGUUGUGAAUAUUGCGGCUUCAAAUCGUAAGAAUCAAACCCCGAUUGUGGAGCACCGUUAUCGGACUUGGUUCGUUUGGGAUCGUAGGAGAGUGGUGGAGCGCCGGUGAC